rnacentral:rRNA from 1 species
UGGGGAAUAUUGGACAAUGGGCGCAAGCCUGAUCCAGCCAUGCCGCGUGAGUGAUGAAGGCCCUAGGGUUGUAAAGCUCUUUCACCGGUGAAGAUAAUGACGGUAACCGGAGAAGAAGCCCCGGCUAACUUCGUGCCAGCAGCCGCGGUAAUACGAAGGGGGCUAGCGUUGUUCGGAUUUACUGGGCGUAAAGCGCGCGUAGGCGGACUAUUAAGUCAGGGGUGAAAUCCCGGGGCUCAACCCCGGAACUGCCUUUGAUACUGGUAGUCUUGAGUUCGGGAGAGGUGAGUGGAAUUCCGAGUGUAGAGGUGAAAUUCGUAGAUAUUCGGGGGAACACCAGUGGCGAAGGCGGCUCACUGGCUCGAUACUGACGCUGAGGUGCGAAAGCGUGGGGAGCAAACAGG